GGAGAGGUCGCAUAGUUGGUCUAGUGCGCGCGCCUGGAGAGCGCGUGGGGCGCAAGCCCUCGUGGGUUCGAAUCCCACCCUCUCCGCCC
rnacentral:tRNA from 1 species